rnacentral:rRNA from 1 species
UUGCGACUGCGGAGAUCAUUGAUCUAUCAAUACCAACACCUGUGAACCAAAUCGUCUGGCCCUUCAAUCUUCGGAUUGGAGCUUCCUGGGCAGCAUUAACUUGUUGCUUGGGUUGGGCUCGAGCUUGCUCGGGUUGGUCCCUACUAACAUUAACACCAAACCAAAAACCUUAAGCAAGAAAUGUAUUCGGCCUAGCCGAUGCAUCCAAACCAAGACAACUCUCAACAACGGAUAUCUUGGCUCUCGCAACGAUGAAGAACGCAGCGAAAUGCGAUACGUAGUGGGAAUUGCAGAAUUCCGUGAACCAUCGAAUCUUUGAACGCAUAUUGCGCUCGAGGCUUCGGCCGAGAGCAUGUCUGCCUCAGCGUCGGGUUAAUAUCACUCUCCCUAUACCAUGUGUGUAGUACUGAGUGGACCUGGUUGUUCCGGUGAGCUUUGGUGAACCGGAUCAGCUGAAGAACAGAGGUUAGCACAAGGACCCGUUAAGGGCCGCAAUUGGGUAGGCAGGUUUCUGCUUCUAAUUGUUGGCUUGGGACCAUGAGCUCGACCCUCAAUCAGGAAUUAACCUUUAUUUUCUCGACCUGAGCUCAGGCAAGAACACCCGCUGAACUUAAGCAUUCAAAAGG